GGGAAGAAGAAGAAGAGGAGCUUUACAAGCCAGGGGUGCAGGUUAACGCUGACAGGAAGUAGAGUCUGUGUCAUGCCAGAACCGGAGCUGGGAGCUGUCACUUUGUGUGGACAUUGUCCCUUCAGUGUGUGUGGCUAUAGGGAGCGUCUGAUGUCCACUCCGGGCCACUUGUCUAUGAUGUGAAUGGGAAGACAAUGAGACCCCCAGUGGCUCCCUCUCUCCAUGACCCGCCUGGGGUCUGAUUUGCCUUGGCAAGGGGGACAGAGGCCCAAAACAAAGCUGAAGGAGUCUCCAGUGAAGGGGUGCAGAGGUCAGCCCCAAUGCCCAACUAACAGGCCCGUCCUCAAGUUUGGGCUCCUAAAUGGGGAAGGGACACAGAGGCGUUGAGACAAUGGGAUAAAAGGGACCUCCAAAACCAUUAAAUUCUAAGGAAGUGAUGGCCGUGAAUGAUGACAGAGACUGAAUAGAGACUCUUGAGGUGGGAGGUACGCUCCAUUAAUGACCAUGGAUGCUCCAUUAUGGCAGCCCUGGGAGGUGGUGAUGAGGUGGUACAUUUUCUCCCAUUAGGCCUCUCUUCUCCGAACGAGGAGACACUUCCAGAUUGAUGCAGGAAUCCCGGUCGGGUCUGUAUGGACCCCUGCCGUGAACCUCGGGGACAACGUGACAACGCCUGGGCCCCAUUUAGAGAUAAUCUCGACAUCUCUCCCCCUCCACAUCCCCCAUCCUUUACUUAGACUUGUUCCUGCAGCUGUGAUGUCGAAAAUAAAA